AAGACUAUUUUCAGGGAUCAUUUCUAUAGUUCAUUACUGGAGAAAUUUCUCUGAACCAGAAAACACCAGGAGGAGGUACAGCAUUUUCCAGAGCAUGAAGCCAGCACUUGGUGUUGCUUCACUGCAAUCGCCAUUUGCCAUUGACGAUGGUGAGUGGUUCCUGUUUAAAAAAAAAAAAAAAAAAAGCUUCCCAA
rnacentral:snoRNA from 1 species